rnacentral:rRNA from 1 species
GAUGAACGCUGGCGGCGUGCCUAAUACAUGCAAGUCGAGCGAACGGACGAGAAGCUUGGUUCUCUGAUGUUAGCGGCGGACGGGUGAGUAACACGUGGAUAACCUACCUAUAAGACUGGGAUAACUUCGGGAAACCGGAGCUAAUACCGGAUAAUAUUUUGAACCGCACGGUUCAAAAGUGAAAGACGGUCUUGCUGUCACUUAUAGAUGGAUCCGCGCUGCAUUAGCUAGUUGGUAAGGUAACGGCUUACCAAGGCAACGAUGCAUAGCCGACCUGAGAGGGUGAUCGGCCACACUGGAACUGAGACACGGUCCAGACUCCUACGGGAGGCAGCAGUAGGGAAUCUUCCGCAAUGGGCGAAAGCCUGACGGAGCAACGCCGCGUGAGUGAUGAAGGUCUUCGGAUCGUAAAACUCUGUUAUUAGGGAAGAACAUAUGUGUAAGUAACUGUGCACAUCUUGACGGUACCUAAUCAGAAAGCCACGGCUAACUACGUG